ACAGCGGAGGCCCGCGCCAUCUUAUAAUGGCGAUUGCUCUUGGCACACACGGCUCUCCUCAGAGAUUACUGGCGGCACGCACGCGAUUGCUCGCAGCACUUCUAUUGAAGAUUUAUUGGCAUUGAAAAUCUCAUAUUUGGAGGUUCUAGAUCAGCAAGUUUUAUGUCAAUUUCAAACAUGAUAUGGUCUUUUGCCAACAGGGAACAUCAAUUGAGAUAAUUGCCACACCCAGACUGGAGAGUCUUGAAGGUAUCACUGGUGGCAUGGUGCCCGACAAGAUGGAAUAGAAGCAGACGGCAAGAAAGGAAGAAAGCUCUGCAAGCCCAUCAGAAUCCGCAGAAAUGACUAUGGAAUGGUACGAAAAGAAGAGCCGAUCAAACAGGCUUCCAUCUGCUUCCAUCUCCAAAGUUCAACUUUUAUUAUAAACUAUGCAACUGAAAA
rnacentral:lncRNA from 1 species